CUUAUUUAUACAUCAAAUUAUACAUGACACAUGUAGUUCCUCGCCAAGCCACAUGACUCAAAUAAAUGAACUGAGUAGAUGCUACAUGCAUCAAAAUUCCAAUUCAAAGAUUGUGAUUAAAGAUUACGCUUAUCCGUUUAAUCUCUCCGCAUAUUACGGAUUGGUCACAGGGUAUAAAUAAUAGGUGGUUGCUAUCGGAUCGUCGCAAUCAAAGAGAAUUGGGUACGGCAUCAAUCAAUGCAAAGGUACUCUCUAUAUCACGAUUUGCGACUCACUCUCUGAC